rnacentral:tRNA from 1 species
UCCCUGAUGGUCCAAUGGUUAGGACUCUGUGCUUCCACCACAGGAGGCAGUGGUUUGAUCCCUGAUCGGGGGA